GGAGGGAUGCCUGAGCGGUUGAAAGGGACUGUCUUGAAAACAGUUAGGGGCGCAAGCUCCUCGGGGGUUCGAAUCCCUCUCCCUCCG
rnacentral:tRNA from 1 species